rnacentral:rRNA from 1 species
AGACGGAGGGGGCUAGCGUUGUUCGGAAUUACUGGGCGUAAAGCGCGCGUAGGCGGGUUGUCAAGUUGAGGGUGAAAGCCCGGGGCUCAACCUCGGAACUGCCUUCAAUACUGUUAGUCUUGAGUCCGAGAGAGGUGAGUGGAAUUCCUAGUGUAGAGGUGAAAUUCGUAGAUAUUAGGAAGACCACCAGUGGCGAAGGCGGCUCACUGGCUCGGUACUGACGCUGAGGUGCGAAAGCGUGGGGAGCAAACAGGAUUAGAAACCCCAGUAGUCC